ACCAUCUGCAGGCCUCCAGUGCUCAUUUCCGCUUCCUCUUCUAUUUAAUUGCCCAGAUGGCGCACGAUCUUUUAUCCACCAAUCGCCGCGAGUUAAUUCCCCAGAUGGCGCACGAUCUCUUCUCCCUCAAUCGCCGCGAGGAACAAGAAACGUACGGGUGGGCGUCUUCAAUCUCCGCGAGGCAUAUGAAGAGCUCGUGCAGAUUUCCCACCGAUUUAAACCCGAGCUCCACCUUGACCUUGCUCACAUCGCCCUCCAGUACAGCACACCAACAUUCAGGAGCGGCAAUGACAUCCAUCGAGGCCUCGCCUGCACGUCGCCGGAGCCAUGCUCCUCCGUCUCCAUAACUCUCUCUCUGCCGCGCUCAAAUCGUCCUAAAUCAGGUACUCCGUAUCCAAUGUCGCAUACCAGCACUAGAACGAAGACUGAAACCCACAUCACUAUAUCAGGCUGGACGUGUGAAGUGGCGAUUCCUAGGUAGCAUCCAAGGCUACCAUAAAUCACCUUACUGAUACAGGUCUAUUACAUAUUUCUCCGUUCUGUAGUAGCAUUGCAAAUGUUAAUUUGACCUUUCAUUAAUUUGAUGUGGGACAUGUUUCUAGAGACGCAAUGUGAAUGUGUGAUUCUGAUCAUGGAUGCGGUGGUGGCAACAACGGUUACACCUAUGUGUACUUUUCUUUUCUUUUUUUCCUAUCAUGUUUGUUAAAGAAAAAAAAAGACAAGUCGUAUAUUGGAUACUCUGUGACCAUUUGUAUUUUUUUCCAUAAUAUUGUAUUUGACAAUGCAGUGAAGUGGAAUGCAGAAAUUAAGUAUUAUUGUGGCUCAUAAA